UGCCAGCAGCCGCGGUAAUACGGAGGGUGCAAGCGUUAAUCGGAAUUACUGGGCGUAAAGCGCGCGUAGGCGGCUUGGUCAGUUGGAUGUGAAAGCCCUGGGCUUAACCUGGGAACUGCAUUCAAUACUGCCAGGCUAGAGUGUGAGAGAGGAGAGUAGAAUUCCUAGUGUAGCGGUGAAAUGCGUAGAUAUUAGGAGGAAUACCAGUGGCGAAGGCGGCUCUCUGGCUUAACACUGACGCUGAGGUGCGAAAGCGUGGGUAGCGAACAGGAUUAGAUA
rnacentral:rRNA from 1 species